GUCCUCAGUUCCUGACUGUUGAAAACAGUGCCUCAAAUCACUUCCCAGAUUGGACGUUUGUUUCCUCCAGGGGAUGUCACAGAAUGACAUCCUAUGACAGAAUGAUCUCUGUUCAUUUCCAAGACAAACCGUUCAAUAUCGCAGUAAUCCAAGUCCAUGCCCCAACCAAUAAUGCUGAAGAAGCUGAAGUUGAAUGGGUCUAUGAAGACCUAUAAGACUUCUAGAACUAACACACACAAAAAAGAUGUCCUUUUCAUCAUAGGGGACUGGGAUGUGAAAAAAGGAAGUUAAGAACCUGGAGUAUCUUUUACCAAGGCAAAUUUGGCCUUGGAGUACAAAAUAAAGCAGGGCAAAGGCUAACAAUUUUCCCUAGAGAACACACUGGUCAUAGCAAACACCCUAUUUCAACAACACAAGAGAAGACUCUACACAUGGACAUCACCAGAUGGUCAAUAUUGAAAUCAAAUUGAUUAUAUUCUUUGCAGCCAAAGAUGGAGAAGCUCUAUACAGUCAGCAAAAACAAGACUGGGAGCUGACUGUGGCUCAGAUCAUGAACUCAUUGCCAAAUUCAGACUUAAUUGAAGAAAGUUGGGAAAACCACUAGACUAUCCAGGUAUGACCUAAAUCAAAUUCCUUAAAAUUAUACAGUGGAAGUGACAAACAGAUUCAAGGGGUUAGAUCUCAUAGAGUGCCUGAAGAACUAUAAACAGAGCUUUGUGACAUUGUAUAGGAGGCAGUGAUCAGGACCACCCCCAAGAAAAAUAAAUGUGAAAAGGCAAAAUGGUUGUCCAAUGAGGCCUUACAAAUAGCUGAGAAAAGAAGAGAAGCGAAAGGCAAAGGAGAAGAGGAAAGAUAUACCCACAAGGAGAGAUAAGAAAGCCUUCCUCAGUAAUCAGUGCAAAGAAAUCGAGGAAAACAAUAGGAUGGGAAGGACUAGAGAUCUCUUCAAGAAAAUUAGAGAUACCAGGGGAACAUUUCAUGUAAAGAUAGGUACAAUAAAGGACAGAAAUGCUAUGGACCUAACAGAAGCAGAAGAUAUUAAGAGGUGGCAAGAAUACACACAAGAACUAUAC
ensembl:lncRNA